rnacentral:hammerhead_ribozyme from 1 species
AUCCAGUUGACGAGUCCCAAAUAGGACGGAAUGCGAAUUCUGGAU